rnacentral:misc_RNA from 1 species
GAUGGAGAACGUAGCGAAAUGCGAUACUUGGUGUGAAUUGCAGAAUCCCGUGAACCAUCGAGUCUUUGAACGCAAGUUGCGCCCGAAGCCACUAGGCCGAGGGCACGCCUGCCUGGGCGUCACACGCCGUUGCCCCCCCAUCUACUCCUUCGGGAUUGCGGGGGGGCGGAUGAUGGCCUCCCGUGCGCCUAGCCGCGCGGUUGGCAUAAAUACCAAGUCCUCGGCGACGCACGCCACGACAAUCGGUGGUUGCGAAACCUCGGUUGCCCGUCGUGUGCGUUCGUCGCGCAUCGAGGGCUCGAAAAAAUGCUCGGCUCCGGCUGGGCUUUCAACGCGACCCCAGGUCAGGCGGGGUUACCCGCUGAAUUUAAGCAUAUCAAUAAGCGGAGGA